GGAGAACCAACCAAAUAAAAGCAUCAUAAAAGCUGUUAGACUAUACCACAAUAUUUAGUUUGCUGACAAACAAUAUAUAUUAUAAAAUUACUAUCAUGAAAUAUACUUCUAAUAACUACUGUGAAAUAGCUAACCAAAUGCAGCAAACAGAAGCUACCUCAGUCUGGAAUACUCAAUAACUUUUAACAUGUUGAGAAUAAAAAAAAAAUUAAAAAAC
rnacentral:misc_RNA from 1 species